ACUGAAAAUGGCUGGCACUGAUUAAUAAACCAAUAAAAAAAAAAUACAUUUUAAACUCUUAAUAAGGUUUUCUGUUGAAGAGAACAACCCCUGCAUCUCAUGACAAGCUGAAAACCAAAGGCAGUCACUUUUUUUCUCUUUUUUUUUUAAACCAACACUAAAGCCGACCGUCUUCUGUGGCGUAGUCCUCACAGUAUCACCAAGUAUUAUACUCACUCUCUUUGCCAUGGUAAUCCUGUGGACCUCCACAGGCCCAUUUCUUUCAUAAUUGAUUAGGCUGAGAUGCAGCCUGGCAUUUGCAAAGGGGAGGAACAUGAAAUAAAACAGCCAUUCUUUUUGUUUUUAUGAUCCAUGAUGGAUUCUAAUACCCGGGGUGUAGAUUCCAAGGUAACCUACAUCAUUAACGCUCGAUGCUGGACUGGUAUUUGCUUGUGGUCAUAAUCCAGAAUUCAGAUUAUUCAUAUUUAGUGAUGGUCUUUGAGAAGGAUACGUCUUCUAGCUUUUGUAACUAAAAAAUGGAAAACCCCCAUCUCCUGAUCAUUUUUCUUAUGGAAAAAAAAAUAGUUUGGAGAAAUAUGCUGUGGAGCAUUAAACGUAGCAUCACCUUUCCCCAUGUUAGGAAGAUGAUGUCACCAGCCGUCAAAUGGACUGCUGAGAUUUGUAAGCUGGAGAUCUUGUCAAUUUAAUUCCAAGGAAAAUCCACAACCAUUUUAAAAGGCCCACAGUUUUGUAAAUGAUAUCGAAAUAACAUGAGACUAAAUGCAUUUAUUUUUACGGAACUAAUGUAAUCCCUUCAGCACUCCUUCUUGCUUUGAAGUUUAUGUGUUCAUUGGUUUCAUUCGCAGAAUUACACAACACGACUUUGAGUUUAUAGGAAGAGUUGGGCCAAGGAAAGAAAAC